UACAGAGGUCCCGAGCGUUGUCCGGAUUUACUGGGCGUAAAGGGCUUGUAGGCGGUUUGUUAAGUCUGGUGUGAAAUCUCCCGGCUCAACCGGGAGGGGUCAUCGGAUACUGGCAGACUAGAGACGGGUAGAGGAAAGCAGAAUUCCCGGUGUAGCGGUGAAAUGCGUAGAUAUCGGGAGGAAUACCAGUGGCGAAGGCGGCUUUCUGGGCCUGUUCUGACGCUGAGGAGCGAAAGCGUGGGGAGCAAACCGG
rnacentral:rRNA from 1 species